GAGUUUGAUCCUGGCUCAGAAUGAACUGCUGGCGGCAUGCCUAACACAUGCAAGUCGAACUGAAGGCUUCGGCCUUAGUGGCGCACUGGGUGCGUAACGCUGUGGGAAUCUGCCCUCAGGUUCGGAAUAACAGCGAGAAAUUGCUGCUAAUACCGGAUGAUAUCGCGAGAUCAAAGAUUUAUCGCCUGAGGAUGAGCCCGCGUAGGAUUAGCUAGUUGGUGUGGUAAAGGCGCACCAAGGCGACGAUCCUUAGCUGGUCUGAGAGGAUGAUCAGCCACACUGGGACUGAGACACGGCCCAGACUCCUACGGGAGGCAGCAGUGGGGAAUAUUGGACAAUGGGCGAAAGCCUGAUCCAGCAAUGCCGCGUGAGUGAUGAAGGCCUUAGGGUUGUAAAGCUCUUUUACCCGGGAUGAUAAUGACAGUACCGGGAGAAUAAGCUCCGGCUAACUCCGUGCCAGCAGCCGCGGUAAUACGGAGGGAGCUAGCGUUAUUCGGAAUUACUGGGCGUAAAGCGCACGUAGGCGGCUUUGUAAGUUAGAGGUGAAAGCCUGGAGCUCAGCUCCAGA
rnacentral:rRNA from 1 species